GCAUAUUCUGUUUUCCGUUGGCGUCCAUGAAAGAGUAACAGGCUCCAGUCCCUUCACGUGUCCUGAAACUACUCACCUAUCUAAGAAUCUCAGCAUUAUUGGCAUAACUCCACCUCCCUGUGCCUUUCCUCUCACGGAAGGAAGCUGAAAGAAGGGAUGAGUCAUGAGAAGCACAUACAGAGCUGGCCUGUCAGUGGAGCCAUUACUGCUGAGAAUGACCAGAACGUGGGGCUCAAGAACAUCACCCUGUGAUAGAAGGUGGAGCCAAAAAGCUACUGCCCUCACAGCUGCCGUAAACCGCCUCUUGUCUUCCAGGAGGCUGGGAGUGCAGGAGACGCGGGUGCGAUCUUGGGUGAGGAAGAUCCCUGGAGGAGGAAAUGGCAACCCGCUCCAGUGUUCUUGCCUGGAGAAGCCCAUGGACGGAGGAGCCUGGCGGGCUACAGUGCACUGGAUCGCAAAGAGUCAGGUAAGACUUGGCGACCAGACAACAACAGCAAAUAAAAGUCUGACCGGUGUCCUUAGGAGGAGGGUGUCAGGACACGCAGAGACGCCAGGAGCCCCGGCUGUCCAUACAGAGCAGCAGCCGGGCAGCCGGGCCUGGAGGCCUCGGAGGAGGGCAGCAUCGCUGGCUCCUUGGUCUUGGACUGCCACCCUCCAGAUCUGUGAGAAAAGAAACUUCUGUG
ensembl:lncRNA